rnacentral:rRNA from 1 species
ACGCUGACAGAAUGCUUAACACAUGCAAGUCUACUUGAACUUCGGUUUGGGUGGCGGACGGGUGAGUAACGCGUAAAGAACUUGCCUCACAGUUAGGGACAACAUUUGGAAACGAAUGCUAAUACCUGAUAUUAUGAUUUUAGGGCAUCCUAAGAUUAUGAAAGCUAUAUGUGCUGUGAGAGAGCUUUGCGUCCCAUUAGCUAGUUGGAGAGGUAACGGCUCACCAAGGCGAUGAUGGGUAGCCGGCCUGAGAGGGUGAACGGCCACAAGGGGACUGAGACACGGCCCUUACUCCUACGGGAGGCAGCAGUGGGGAAUAUUGGACAAUGGACCAAAAGUCUGAUCCAGCAAUUCUGUGUGCACGAUGACGUUUUUCGGAAUGUAAAGUGCUUUCAGUUGGGAAGAAAAAAAUGACGGUACCAACAGAAGAAGUGACGGCUAAAUACGUGCCAGCAGCCGCGGUAAUACGUAUGUCACAAGCGUUAUCCGGAUUUAUUGGGCGUAAAGCGCGUCUAGGUGGUUAUGUAAGUCUGAUGUGAAAAUGCAGGGCUCAACUCUGUAUUGCGUUGGUAACUGCAUGACUAGAGUACUGGAGAGGUAAGCGGAACUACAAGUGUAGAGGUGAAAUUCGUAGAUAUUUGUAGGAAUGCCGAUGGGGAAGCCAGCUUACUGGACAGAUACUGACGCUAAAGCGCGAAAGCGUGGGUAGCAAACAGGAUUAGAUACCCUGGUAGUCCACGCCGUAAACGAUGAUUACUAGGUGUUGGGGGUCGAACCUCAGCGCCCAAGCUAACGCGAUAAGUAAUCCGCCUGGGGAGUACGUACGCAAGUAUGAAACUCAAAGGAAUUGACGGGGACCCGCACAAGCGGUGGAGCAUGUGGUUUAAUUCGACGCAACGCGAGGA